rnacentral:rRNA from 1 species
AUACGGAGGGUGCAAGCGUUACUCGGAAUCACUGGGCGUAAAGCGCGCGCAGGCGGGCUGAUAAGUUGGAUGUGAAAGCCUACGGCUCAACCGUAGAACUGCAUCCAAAACUGUCAGUCUAGAGUGUGGGAGAGGAAGAUGGAAUUAGUUGUGUAGGGGUGAAAUCCGUAGAGAUAACUAGGAAUACCAAAAGCGAAGGCGAUCUUCUGGAACAGUACUGACGCUGAGGCGCGAAAGCGUGGGGAGCAAACAGGAUUAGAAACCCCAGUAGUCC